AUCUUGUCUUGUUCCCGAAGAAGUAGAAGCAUCGAAAGCGUUGGAGAGGUGUUACCGGAACGGCGGCGACAAGGGUGUUCCCGAACUAGAGUGGAUAGAAAAUCAAGUAUAUUUUAAAAGAAGGGAUGUGGGAUCAAGGAGGACAGCCUUGGCAGCAGUGGCCCUUGAACCAGCAACAAUGGAUGCAGUCAUUCCAGCACCAACAGGAUCCAAGCCAGAUUGAUUGGGCUGCAUUGGCCCAAGCUUGGAUUGCCCAAAGAGAAGCUUCAGGACAGCAAAGCAUGGUAGAACAACCACCAGGAAUGAUGCCAAAUGGACAAGAUAUGUCUACAAUGGAAUCUGGUCCAAACAAUCAUGGGAAUUUCCAAGGGGAUUCAAACUUCAACAGAAUGUGGCAACCAGAAUGGGGAAUGCAUCAGCAACCCCCACACCCCCCUCCAGAUCAGCCAUGGAUGCCACCAACACCAGGCCCAAUGGACAUUGUUCCUCCUUCUGAAGACAGCAACAGUCAGGACAGUGGGGAAUUUGCCCCUGACAACAGGCAUAUAUUUAACCAGAACAAUCACAACUUUGGUGGACCACCCGAUAAUUUUGCAGUGGGGCCAGUGAACCAGUUUGACUAUCAGCAUGGGGCUGCUUUUGGUCCACCGCAAGGUGGAUUUCAUCCUCCUUAUUGGCAACCAGGACCUCCAGGACCUCCAGCACCUCCCCAGAAUCGAAGAGAAAGGCCAUCAUCAUUCAGGGAUCGUCAGCGUUCACCUAUUGCACUUCCUGUGAAGCAGGAGCCUCCACAAAUUGACGCAGUAAAACGCAGGACUCUUCCCGCUUGGAUUCGCGAAGGUCUUGAAAAAAUGGAACGUGAAAAGCAGAAGAAAUUGGAGAAAGAAAGAAUGGAACAACAACGUUCACAAUUGUCCAAAAAAGAAAAAAAGGCCACAGAAGAUGCUGAAGGAGGGGAUGGCCCUCGUUUACCUCAGAGAAGUAAAUUUGAUAGUGAUGAGGAAGAAGAAGACACUGAAAAUGUUGAGGCUGCAAGUAGUGGGAAAGUCACCAGAAGUCCAUCCCCAGUUCCUCAAGAAGAGCACAGUGACCCUGAGAUGACUGAAGAGGAGAAAGAGUAUCAAAUGAUGUUGCUGACAAAAAUGCUUCUAACAGAAAUUCUGCUGGAUGUCACAGAUGAAGAAAUUUAUUACGUAGCCAAAGAUGCACACCGCAAAGCAACGAAAGGUAUAUUUUGGUGUUUCUGGUUUUGCUUUUCCUGGGGUAUUUUGGUUCUGAUGACUAUUUUGGCCUUUUUUUGUUGUCCUUGUUGGAUUUCUACCAGAUAUUUGAAUAUUCUCUUGCAUGUUUUAACUCUUAAAGAUUAGAUUCGUAGACACCAUAUUAAAGCUAUACAAAUAUUUUUGUUUUAUCUGACCUACAUGAGUACAAAUUAGCAAUCAUGCUGUUUUCCUCUAAAAUGUAUUGUGGAAAAUUCCAGGUGUUCAGUUUAUUUCACCUGAUUUUUUUUAAUAGAUAACAUGGCAUUGUUGUGUGACUUCUGAUACAGUUUAUUUUGACUAAUGAAUUUUGAAUUAUCUACCUACAAUUUUUAGUUUACCACUUAUCUCUUACAGAAGCAAGUGAUUUCCUACCCCUAGAUUUUUAGUAACACCUUAAAAAUGUAUUGAAAACAAAAAUUAAGUUACAUGUCAUAAUCUCAGAAGUAGACAUACAGAUAUACCUGUCAACAUUUUUUCUCAUUAUAAACCAAUUUCAGCUCACAUCAGAGUUAUAAUUUCAAAGCCAGACAUGAUACUGGUUUAAAAUGAAUGUUAUGUUUUUAAUGUUUCUUCUCUCCCCAAAAAGCAGCAAUAGUAGUAGAUUUAACAAUACCAUAGACUCAUGACUAUGAAAUCGUGGCUAUUUGUGUUAACAUGUUGUUCCUGUUGUUGAUGUGAUACAAAGCUCCUGCAAAACAGCUGGCACAGUCCAGUGCACUGGCUUCCCUCACUGGACUCGGUGGACUGGGUGGUUAUGGAUCAGGAGACAGUGAAGAUGAGAGGAGUGACAGAGGAUCUGAGUCAUCUGACACUGAUGAUGAAGAAUUACGGCAUCGAAUCCGGCAAAAACAGGAAGCUUUUUGGAGAAAAGAAAAAGAACAGCAGCUAUUACAUGAUAAACAGAUGGAAGAAGAAAAGCAGCAAACAGAAAGGGUUACAAAAGAGAUGAAUGAAUUUAUCCAUAAAGAGCAAAAUAGUUUAUCACUACUAGAAGCAAGAGAAGCAGACGGUGAUGUGGUUAAUGAAAAGAAGAGAACUCCAAAUGAAACCACAUCAGUUUUAGAACCAAAAAAAGAGCAUAAAGAAAAAGAAAAACAAGGAAGGAGUAGGUCGGGAAGUUCUAGUAGUGGUAGUUCCAGUAGCAAUAGCAGAACUAGUAGUACUAGUAGUACUGUCUCUAGCUCUUCAUACAGUUCUAGCUCAGGUAGUAGUCGUACUUCUUCUCGGUCUUCUUCUCCUAAAAGGAAAAAGAGACACAGUAGGAGUAGAUCUCCAACAAUCAAAGCUAGACGUAGCAGGAGUAGAAGCUAUUCUCGCAGAAUUAAAAUAGAGAGCAAUAGGGCUAGGGUAAAGAUUAGAGAUAGAAGGAGAUCUAAUAGAAAUAGCAUUGAAAGAGAAAGACGACGAAAUCGGAGUCCUUCCCGAGAGAGACGUAGAAGUAGAAGUCGCUCAAGGGAUAGACGAACCAAUCGUGCCAGUCGCAGUAGGAGUCGAGAUAGGCGUAAAAUUGAUGAUCAACGUGGAAAUCUUAGUGGGAACAGUCAUAAGCAUAAAGGUGAGGCUAAAGAACAAGAGAGGAAAAAGGAGAGGAGUCGAAGUAUAGAUAAAGAUAGGAAAAAGAAAGACAAAGAAAGGGAACGUGAACAGGAUAAAAGAAAAGAGAAACAAAAAAGGGAAGAAAAAGAUUUUAAGUUCAGUAGUCAGGAUGAUAGAUUAAAAAGGAAACGAGAAAGUGAAAGAACAUUUUCUAGGAGUGGUUCUAUAUCUGUUAAAAUCAUAAGACAUGAUUCUAGACAGGAUAGUAAGAAAAGUACUACCAAAGAUAGUAAAAAACAUUCAGGCUCUGAUUCUAGUGGAAGGAGCAGUUCUGAGUCUCCAGGAAGUAGCAAAGAAAAGAAGGCUAAGAAGCCUAAACAUAGUCGAUCGCGAUCCGUGGAGAAAUCUCAAAGGUCUGGUAAGAAGGCAAGCCGCAAACACAAGUCUAAGUCCCGAUCAAGGUAGUAUACUUUUUAAAGUAUUUUGUCUGAUUUUUAAAAAAAAUUGACUGAAUUUAUUCAAAGUUGAAAGUGUCCUUUCUCUCUCUCUUUAAUAAACUCAGUUUGGUACUUGAUAAAUAAUCAUAGUCUUAAAUGUUAGAAAUCCUAUAUAAUAUUAUUUAUUUAAAAUUGCAGAUUUUUAAUUUAAAAUACAUUUUUAUUUUUAAAUUUUGUCUUUUCCCUUUUUUUUCAGAUCAACAACCCCUCCCCGUCGUAAACGCUGAGGAAUGAUGUGGCAAGAAUGCCAUGAUGUUCUUUAAAAAAAUUCCAUGAGUUUUAAGGGCUUGUCUCAUUAUAGAGGCACAUUGUGGCUGUGUAGGUGAAACCAGAAUCUUUUUUUUUUUUAAUCUGUAAAUAGGUGUACUUUUUCCAAUGCUGCUCCAAGUUACUUAAUAGGAUUUCUUUGUAUUACGUUUUUUUCAAAAAAUAUAGUGCAUAAUAAGACUAUAAACAUGCCAUUCUCUUUCAGCUGUAAUGUUCUUAAAAUUAUUCUUGAAUGUACUGUGAUGUCAAUAAAGCUCUUUAGUUCAUUUUUGUUAAACUCUUGCACCUUAAUUUUAUGGUUUUAAUCUAAGGAACGUACUUUUAUAAAAAGGCAGCUGGAAUUUUGUAUAACAGGUUUUAAAGGUACCUUCUCUCACCUCCCCCAAAGAAAAUGGUUUUUACUUAAUAGUUUGUCAAAGUUUGUAAAUUGUACCCAUGGACUUUUGCCAGAUUCCAACUUUAAGGGUAUGAAAGAGGGCUAGAAAUAGACCUUUACUUUUCAUUUGGAAGUAUUUGACAACUUUCUAAACUUUUCUUCCUAUUUUGGGGAUUUUCAAGUAAUAUAUUCUCUGUGUGUAUAACGUGUGGUUCACUCCUGUAAAAUGAAAUUGCUGGAAUCAAUCAAGCCAGUGCACCAGUAGAGUUAUUUGUAAGGAACGAUUGUGUUUGACAGUAAUAGUCAAGUCUGGAACUAUAUUCUACAGUCACCCACUUCUGUUUUAGAAGCAUUUUGAAACACUUUUUGGGGUUAUAGAAAUAAGACUCAUGAUUCAAUAUAUUUAUUUAUAUUUUUAAAGUAUAAUAUGACCUCAAAUCAAUGGAGGAAUGCUGUAUUAUGCAGGUUUGUGUCAAUUUCCUGACAUUAAAAUUGUCUGAUUUUGUCCGUUUCUUAAAAUUAUGAUUAGUGAGUGGUCUAACAGUUUAAGGCAUUGAUAACUUACAAGUAGAAUGGGGCUCUCAAAGCAUUUUAACUCAGUUGCUUUAGGGUCCAUUUUUUUAUGUAAUCACUUACUCAGUGAUAAAUGAAUCUCUGAAAACAAAUGCUUUUACAUUUUAAUUUAAAAAGAAAACAGGUGCAGGCCACAGAAAAGUUUUAAAGUAUGCCUUCUUACCAGCAAUAGUUCAUUUUAAAAAUCAUGCCAGAUUUUUGCCAAGAUCAGUGUUUCCUCAACAUGAAGAUAGAAAUAGAUUUGUAUAGUGUGCUCUUGUACCUCUACAUAGAUUAUUAUAUAAUUUUGAGCAGUUACACAUUUAUCUAAAGGAAAUAAAUCAACUGUGAAUAAAUGCAUGUUUACCAAAAUGGCUGUUUACAGUGCAUUUAGUUCUGAUAUUUAUAAAGAUGACAUUUCACAGAAUAACUUUAAAAUAGUUUGAAAUUCUAUAUAGUUUAGACAUCGAUCACAUCUGGAGACAAAAUAAAAUGUGCAAUAUUUUUUAUGUAGGCGAGCUAACACAGUGUACCUAAUUGCAGAAUUAUCUGAUUAAUUUGUAAUAGAUAAGUUGUAUAACAUUUUCAUAUCUUAAAAUGUUUUUUAGAUCAAUCUUGAAGUGAAAUAUUUUCAAAAUAAAAUUCUACAGAAAAAUUCUGUUGGCUAUGAUAUGCACAUUUUUGGGCAAGUUAUGAACUAGAGCCAAAAGUAGUAUUUGACAGUUUUAUUUACUCUGCCGUAAUUUGCAAGCUUAUCAGUUAAGUCUGUAGUUUUUUUAAAAGCCGUCAUGAUAUUUGUGAUUAUUAGUACAUAAACCAGUGUUAUAAUUUGAUAUUUGGGUUUUUCAGACUUUUAGUGGCAGAUUUAGAGAAUUCUUUAUUUUCUUGACAUGUGAUAUAGUAUUUAUUUACCUUGAGUGGUAAGGUUUUAUAAGGUAGGGUUUCCAUGAUUUAGGAUGUGAAUGCAAAAACUUACACAUAAGUUAAUUAGAUGUAUAAUUUGGUUAUGAAAUCUUUUCUAAAAUAAUACCACCAGAAAAUUAACAGAUCAAAUUUUUGAGACAAUCCUUGGUCUGGAUUGGUUAAUGAAAAUGUCUUGUUUAAGAGGUUCUAUUAAAAAAUAUUUCUAGUGUAUUAGUCAUAAUUGUUUUUGUGGAGUGGGGGUAAACCACACCAUUAAGGGAAUAAAAUGUAAUUUGAAAGAGGUGAUUAUAAGAUUUGUUUCAGGCCCCAAAAUAUAAAUAAAAAUUGGUGUGGAAUCUC